GUCCUUCCCUUCGUUCCUCAGACAGAAAAAAUGGCAAAAUAAAUAGUCAAAAAAAACACAAAAUCGGCACGUUUGGUUUUCUCAUUUCUCGUUUUUUGAUUUUGACAACAGAAACGAUUUUUCGUUUAUGGUUCAAAACGAAAAACGAUGGUAUGUCCGUUUUCUCGUUAAUUGGUUUAAACGAAAAAAUGGACGGUUAAAACAUGGCAGCCAUUUUAAAGGGUUGUCAAACAGAACGGUUGUCAAAGCUAUGGCUUACGUCUAAGAAGACAAUACACCUGCUAUCCAGUACAAUAUGGUGUUGACCCGCCUGCUAGUGAGUCAUACUGGACUUGAGCUAAGACGGCUGUGACAACAAGACUCCAUAAGAUAAUGAAAUGUUGGGUUUUUUUCCAUGGGACUCACCAGCCUUUCUCCAGAAAAGACAGAAAACCUUGUUGAGUUGGUUUGGAAGCAAAGUAACACCAAAGUGAGGGGAGUGGCUGGUCACCGCUAAAUCCCAAGGCUCCAACAAGAAAUAACCUAGAGGACUCACCAGUCACCAGCGUGUCUUCAGGAAUCUCCUCAAUGAUGCAUUUUUCCUCCUGCUCUCCAAGAUCAAAAUACAUGGCUGCUGCCAACACCAGGUAACAAUGGAGCAGAAAGCCAAUGCCUCGAAAACCC